GACGAACGCUGGCGGCGUGCUUAACACAUGCAGGUCGAACGGAAAGGCCCCUUUGGGGGUACUCGAGUGGCGAACGGGUGAGUAACACGUGAGUAACCUGCCCUUGACUUCGGGAUAACUUCAGGAAACUGGGGCUAAUACCGGAUAGGAAUCCUUGCUGCAUGGUGGGGGUUGGAAAGCUUCGGCGGUUUUGGAUGGACUCGCGGCUUAUCAGCUUGUUGGUGGGGUAGUGGCUUACCAAGGCUUUGACGGGUAGCCGGCCUGAGAGGGCGACCGGCCACAUUGGGACUGAGAUACGGCCCAGACUCCUACGGGAGGCAGCAGUGGGGAAUAUUGCACAAUGGGCGGAAGCCUGAUGCAGAAACGCCGCGGGCGGGAUGACGGCCUUCGGGUUGUAAACCGCUUUCAGCAGGGGCGAAGCUUGUGGUGACGGUACCUGCAGAAGAAGCACCGGCUAACUACGUG
rnacentral:rRNA from 1 species